rnacentral:rRNA from 1 species
ACAAUGGGCGCAAGCCUGAUGCAGCCAUGCCGCGUGUAUUGAAGAAGGCCUUCGGGUUGUAAAGUACUUUCAGCAGUGAGGAAGGUGGGUAUGUUAAUAGCAUAUUCAUUUGACGUUUAGCUGCAGAAGAAGCACCGGCUAACUCCGUGCCAGCAGCCGCGGUAAUACGGAGGGUGCGAGCGUUAAUCGGAAUUACUGGGCGUAAAGCGCAUGCAGGUGGUUUGUUAAGUCAGAUGUGAAAGCCCGGGGCUCAACCUCGGAAUUGCAUUUGAAACUGGCAAACUAGAGUACUGUAGAGGGGGUAGAAUUUCAGGUGUAGCGGUGAAAAUGCGUAGAGAUCUGAAGGAAUACCGGUGGCGAAGGCGGCCCCCUGGACAGAUACUGACACUCAGAUGCGAAAGCGUGGGGAGCAAACAGGAUUAGAUACCCUGGUAG